CAGAUUUUGAUGGUGGCAGAUUCUGGCUAAAUGGGUUUGACAGAAUUACGGCUAACACUGGGCUAUUGAGAACAUACCCAAAGAUGAGGUCCAGUUGAAAAUGAGCAGAGAAGACCCUGAGCAGUUACAACUGUAUACCUUGGAAAUAAUGCAAGAUGUGACUACAUGUGAUUUUUGAGGGGUAGAAAGAGGAAGGUGAACUGCUUUGAAUGACAAGACUGAAGGAGAAACAUGACAACUGGAGUCUCUCAUCUCCUCACCCAACACAAGAACACAGGCUGUCCAACCCUGGUGUUUCUUACCAAUAUGAAGGUAGCCCCUAUUUGCAUAUUUCUCCCAAAACUGAGUGAGAGUCCUGAAUACAAGGGCAAGUCAGUCCAGCACCACUGCUAACAUUAAGCAGCCAGGGGGUAGUGUUUUUUACCAUUGAACCUGGGAUUCCCCUCUACCACUAAGAGAUACAGGGUGCCCAGAUGGCACUAGAAAGAGAAACCACACUACAACAAGUGCCUAGCCCAGGAAGCUGCUUUGUAUUCACAGGCCUGAGAUGCCACUCCACCACCUAGAGACAUCAGAGUAGCCAAUGGGCACCUCCAGGGAGUAUUCUGCCAGAACAAGCACAAGAG
rnacentral:lncRNA from 10 species